CGCGGGGUGGAGCAGUCUGUUAGCUCGUUGGGCUCAUAACCCAAAGGUCGGUGGUUCGAAUCCACCCCCCGCUACCA
rnacentral:tRNA from 1 species